CAUACAGGGCAUUUUAUGCUCUGUAAUUGGAAUGAUGGGAAUGUAAAACCCUUCCAGAGUAACAAUUGGAGGGCAAGUCUGGUGCCAGCAGCCGCGGUAAUUCCAGCUCCAAUAGUGUAUAUUAGAGUUGUUGCAGUUAAAAAGCUCGUAGUUGGAUUUCUGCUGUGGUCAUCCGGUACCGCCCGUAUGGGUGCGCACCUGGUUUGGCUGCGGCUUUCUUCCUGUAGCCGUCCGCGCUUAAUUGCGUGUGUUGUGUUACGGAACUUUUACUUUGAGAAAAAUAGAGUGUUUCAAGCAGGCUUGUCGCCCUGAAUACUUCAGCAUGGAAUAAUAGGAUAGGACCUUGGUUCUAUUUUGUUGGUUUCUAGGACCAAGGUAAUGAUUAAUAGGGACAGUUGGGGGCAUUCGUAUUUAACUGUCAGAGGUGAAAUUCUUAGAUUUGUUAAAGACGAACUACUGCGAAAGCAUUUGCCAAGGAUGUUUUCAUUAAUCAAGAACGACAGUAGGGGGUUUGAAGACGAUUAGAUACCGUCGUAAUCUCUACCAUAAACUAUGC
rnacentral:rRNA from 1 species